CCCCGACACGAACGGCGUCCCCUUCCCCGUGUUCAGCAGGCACACCGAGAACGACUCCCCCAGCGCCACCGCCAAAGCCUCCGUCCGGAUCGUCGCCGCAGGAUCCGUCACGUUGAUCGUCUUCCACAGAUUCACCCCCAGCUCCAUGGCGCUGGUGGCGUACGCCGCCGAGACGUUCGCGUUUAUGCCGGUGUCAAUAUAGGGGCUGUCGGAGACGUAGUUGAGGUUGGUGAUCGGGUCGUCGUAACUAGAUCCAUCUUCGAUCCCGCAGUCGAUGCUUAUAAACCCUAAAAAAGUGAACACGAGCGACGGCAAUGGCGGCGAAGCUGAGGAGGAGUGAGCACCAUUCCGCAGUCAUUUUUGACGGCAGCGUCGCCACGGACGUGGUCGCCCUCUUCUUCUCCUUCAAGAAUUCUGUGGUGAGUCUUGGACUCCUUUGGGGAAGUGUAAGAGGAGCUUGUUGAGGCCAUGCAUGAGACUGAGCUCUCAUGAGAGCUUGCAGUCUGCGGAGGGCGACGGCUGCUUGCUUCCUCACGAGGUAGCCUCGAACGAGCGCCUGCAACUUCACCAGGGCUUUGAGUGCCCGGAGAGCUUUCUUUGCCUGCGUCACAUCAUUAGCCAUUAAUUUAAGCAGAGGAAAUUGGAUGGAGGCUACAGUGUCGUUGUUUAGUUUGGUCUCACCAAGUGGCGCCUGAAGGCGGUCUGGAUCUUGACGGCGGCCCACCACGCGUAGCUCCCCUGCAGCACCGCCCUCGUCUCCUUCCCCAGGCUCUGCAGCCGCCACAUUGCCGCCUGCGCAGCAGACACAGCCGCAUUGGCCGCGGCCGCAGUGGCGACGGCCACCGCGAUUGCGUGCUUCCCGUCUUCCUCGUUCUCGUCGUAGAAGGACCUCAGCCACGCCACGUCCGUCGCCGACAGGGGACUCUGGUGCCCCAUGCUCUCGUCUUGGCGCAGCUUGGAGUUGGCGAUGCCGAAGCUCCACCUAUUCCUCUCCUUGGCUUCGUAGCCGCUGAUGCUGGCAUUGUCUUUUCCUGCCGCCUUCGCUUCCUUCUUCCCCCAAAGAACACUCCUCAGCCACCUCGUCGCUCGGCCCAUGGCGCCGGAGCUCCAGCUUAAUUAUCAAAAGCUACAAAACAAACCACAACACCUGAUCUGAAGGCCUACUACAAUUAUAAGAGAGGGUCAGAAAAAAAUCAAGAAAAUAAUGGAAGAAAGAGGUAAAUAUUUGAUUGCUCCACUUCGACAGCAGAAAGAGGCACUCCUCUUACAGUGAUCGUCUCGUGUCUCCCAAUAUUCGCCACCAACUCAGAUUUAUCGUCACAAACGACAGAGCGGGGAGGUUUUUUGCCGCAGUGAAAGGAGGAAAAAUACAAGCAAAAUUAAUUCCCUCGUCUGCCUCUGCCACCUGUAGGUUGCUCCUUCCUCGCGGCGGAAGCCUUCAUCUUUGACUCGACGCUCUACAGAGCACAGCGCCCGAACAGUGCAAGUGUGAAGAAAUCCCUCAAAGAACGAAAAAGUUCGGAUCUUUCCGCAGGCAAUGCCAGAGAUAAGCGACAGGUAGUAAUGAAACCGAGCUCAAUGCUUACAGCAAUGUCGGAUGUGGCAGAGUGCAGUCCGAGUGCGACCACCCCUCCUCAGCUCCUCUUCCUCGCUGCUCGAUUCUUUGGCACACCGGGGAGGAGGCGGAGGAGGAGAGCCGAGAGCGAGACGGAAGAGGAAAGACGGCGGCUUUGAUCUCCAGGCACGGCAUAUAAAAUGGCUAGGAACGGCGACAUGUGAUGACGACGCCGCGGUGGGGGCCGGCGCGGGCUUCUCUGCCAUUGGCUGAUUCCGGAUCUAAGGCGGCGGCUCGAAUCUUGGAGAUGUGGUUUUAGAUUGUGGUAAUAAUUGGAUAAAUCGGAGUGGAUUAACCUAAUAAUGGAACCGUUUAUUCGAUCGAGGCAGCGGAGGAAGCGCGGUGGGUGGAAGGGAGGGCUUUCCGAGGCGGGCAUGACGUCAUCUGGCGUGGGCUGCCGUGGCCUUAAAUUGCGUGCGCGAGCAUCUCGCGCUACCUAAUUAUCUCGUCGCACGCCAAACGCCGAGGGCAUUUAGUGGCGCAUGCAGCGAUGGCAGCUUGAAAUUAGGCCCGGGCACGUGCGAGCUGAUGAUCUGUUUGGAAUGCACACUCCUCACUGAAGCUCACUUCCAACCUACCCUGAUCCACAUCUGACUGAGCUGAGUUCAUCAUCAACCUCCUCUCCCUUUCAAAUAACCACUGAUGCAUGCCACUGAGUGCAGCAGCAGCAGCAGCAGCUACAGCUGGUUCAUUGAGGAGUUCAACUAUUAAGCAGAGUUUGAUCUGUUCUCUAUGGUGCAGCUUAUGGUCUCAGUAACUACACAGAAACACAAUGUGUAUGUGGAGACAAUUUGUCUGAACUGAGAGUUAUUGGCCGUAUUAAAAGCCAAACAGGUAGCUGAUGUCCAUACAUGAAUGAUUCACUGAACUGAAAGCGGCAGCUCAAUGCACUGAAUUCAUCGAACAUAUGCAGUGUUGGGUCAUGUUGAAAGGAGAUUUGCCUAGCUCUUUCCUUCCGUGUCCUUAGGCUUCGCGGCUUUCCUUUUCGAUGAUUGUAGCCGUGGUGGCUUCGGUGCAGUGGUUCUUAGGUACCAAGCUGGGCACUGAUUUAGUUGUGGAUGUGGUGAAAACUUCUUCCAUGCACAUUGAUAGUUAAACAAAAGGGUUAAAUUGACUUGGAAAAUAUCCAUGGAAAAUAAUCAAAGGCAUCAACAAAUCAUGACUUUCU